CCUCACCUUUUCAGAAUGAAAUGAAGCAGGUGAAAUAUUUUGCUGAGUCAAUUUCAAAUGUUGCAUUCCCUAGAGGAUAUUGCCCAUGUAGGACUGUGUAGCUGCCACAGCAAGAUGCAGUGGAGAGCUAGGCUCUGUCCCCACCCCCCACCUGGACAAAUAGCAGGGUGCUGAACAGAAGCUGAGGGCUACUUUGCUUCUGGGCCAGAGGCACUCACUUUGGGCCGCUCCAAUAAAUGGAAGGAGUGGACACACAACUGCUUAUGCCUAGAAGGAUCUCUGACAGGCACUGCCUGAAUGCAGACAGCCAAUGCCCAGAAUGUGAACUUUUGUGCACCACAGCAUUUGGUCCCUUUUAUUUCCCCACAUAUUUUGUCCCAAAACAAACAUAUCAGUGAUACCCCAGAAGACAUUCUCUGCAGUCUCGCUCUCUGGGUAUUUUGUGUUCCUAUUUCCUUUUUCUUACUUUCUCUCCUUUGCUUCUGUUUGUAUGGUUCAACACUGCAUGGUGGUCAUUCCCUCCGCCCCAGAUUUGUGAAAUGUUAUGUGAGAUCAACGGUCUGUUCUGCUUAGCACCUUGUUUCUGAAAGGUGCCAAGAAAGUGUGCUUUAAAGAGUGUAAUGACAGUACAAAAGUGGGGAUUGAAAUAAAGUCCUUGCCUUUUCAUGCAACAUUAGGGUUCAUUUUGGAGUUUAUUUUGUCUGCAGAGAAGCUUCCUUAGAAAGAAGAAAACCAAUUCUUUCUCAGUCUUGUUGAUGUCAGACAAAAUAAGUAUCUCUUGCUAGGUUGUCUGUGUUAUAUAUUUACUUAGGCAAAAUAUUGACUGUUCUGCUCCCCAUACAACUUUCCUCCGCUCUCUGUAGUGAAAUUUAAUGGGAGAUCUGUCAAAAUCAGUAUUGAGCUGCAAGUUUUGUCUCAUCGAGAAAACUACUGCCAUUUGUUCAAAGGUUGUCCUCUAAAUUUAUGGACUUAAACAAGUGUGUGACACUCUUCAGACAGCUUAGUUAAUUUGAAAUCCCGCUUAUAUCAAUUUAGAUUAGACAGACGAGAAUCAAUGUGACUUGUCAUCCAUGCUAGCCAACGUUAAAUUGAACUGAGUGACCACACAGUGUUUUACACUAGUUUAAUUCACUUUUUAAAAAUAACAUGCAUUAAAAUACUGUGACCACCCUGUAAAGCAAGGGCUUUGCUCUGCCCCUGGUCAUGUUGCCUGCAGGCUUUAGCUGAAACAACAGGACGACCAAUGAGCAUUUCUUUGCUUUCUCCAUCUGUGUGCAUCUCUGUCAAGACUUUCCACUUUUACACUGGAGAGACCUCAGGAGGUUUCCAAGGAAGAGCACACCUAAAUGGUACAACACAGCACUGUGUUGUAGCUUCUGCUAGUUCGAAUUGAGGUAGCCUGGGGACCGUGUGAAAUGUGAUGCCUUCUGCACUGGUAUGUCCAUCAUAGGUAAGGGGAUUAUUUUAAACCUAAACAGUACAGAUAGGUAGGACUGUAGGCUACAUGGCAUGACAUGGAGAAAACAUGGUUGAGGACUUAACCCUAUUCUUGAUGACUGCCCAUCUUCUGUAGCUGACCACUGGGCUUUGUGUACGUGUCACAGGACACCUAUCACCAUUCCCCAUAGCACUCGCUGAACUCAGAGCCUCCUGGAACAAGUGAAAAAUCUCCACAUUUCUUCCUCCCUAGCUGCUAGCAGGCUUCUGGAGGAGGUAUCUUCUUCUUCCGAAUGGGGCUGGGAGAGGGAAGGUUGGUGUCGAGUGUUUAGCUAAUUUACAAAAUCUCUUUGAAUUACAAUUUGAAGAGCAGACCUAAAUAAACAAAAUAAGGAUUGGUUUGCAUAUGAAUAAAUUAUAUUCAGGACUCCAAAAUUCACAGCCUUGUAGAAACUGUGAAAGCUUGACCUAUGUGUAAUGUCCCUGCUGCCUAGGAUAAUGUUAGAAAGAACCCCCCCACCCCCCGCCACCUCCAAACAUACCAAGGAGUGAAAAAAAAACCAAACAACCUUACUUAAAGCAGGCUUGUGCUGAGUAUCUAACUUCCUUGUAAAUGAAUCUGGACAACUUCCCAGAUAACAUAUCUGUCCCUCUAAUUCCUAUCUCAAGGAUGAAGUUGAUCAGAGAAGAACUGAAGAGGACUGGUGAGUUAUUCUCAGUGUUUAUCAGGGUAGCACCUGGAGGUGAUCUGAUCUUCCCGCCUCCUCAAAAAAAUAAAUCUGUCUUCCCUUGGCUAGCUCACAAAUCUGCACUCAAACCCUUCUGUGCCAAACAUGUGCAGGUGUACAGUAUCUGUGUUACUACCGAGCCAUCUGCAGCCUCCUCUGCAUGGCAGUUGUUUUACUUUGGAGUUCCUUUCCCGACCAAAUGGAAGUCCACAGAACAGUUUCAAUAGCACAAAUUAAGAAACGAAUGCUUUCUCACAAUGAAAUCAGCUUUGCCUUAGCUCAUGUUGCAGGAACAGGAGAUUUUCUCUCGUCCUGAAAUACAUGAGAGUCAGAGGAAGUGAAAUUGCAGGAUCCACCUGCAUCUCUCGCACAUGGCAUUCGUUGCACACAGUACCACUGAAGGAAGCAAAUGCUAGCAUUAAUUUUCACCAUGAGAGUUUUGCUCAACUGGUCAAAGCAUUGUAGUCUGACAGCGCAGUGGAGGAGCUCAACCCCAGACCUGGCCUCCUCAGCAGAAAAAACCCUGGCCUCAUGGUCGCACUGUGCAUCUGCUGAGCAUCGUCCAGAUGGAUGGAGGCAUUCCACCUUCCCACCCCUUACCCCUAAAACACCAGCUGCUCCCCAAACAAAACCAUUCCAUAUCGCUAGCCCUGGCAGAUCACCGCAUGCCCAGCACCACUGUGAACAAACAGCAGUCUUUGUGUUUGCAAGGGAAGGAAGGCAGCAGUUUCUCCAUGAAACCAGGAGCGUCACCAUUUCCACUUCUUGCUUCAGCUGGUGCAUCAGAAAAGAGCAAUGUGCCCUCCUGUUUUUCGGAAACCUCAAGGAGCUGCCAGCCAACAUGCUGAGCUGGUGAAAUUGAUGGCUGACUAGAUGAACAAAAGUGCACUUCGGGGACCUCCCCAUAGUCUGUCAUUCACUAAUGUUGCCCUCCCCUUGACUUCUGUGGGCUUCCUGGGGAGGCAGCUGUUCCCACACAUAGGUCUGCGGCUAUGUGUUUGAGAGUGUGGGCACAGCUGUGAGUGCUGAACCAGAAACAGGUAGAGAACUUGUCCUAGUGCCAGAGGGAGACAGUAUGGAUGAUAUGUAAUCUGGAAGCUUCCCAGAUCACCUAGGCACUUCUACCUAAUGUGGCUUUGGACCCCCAAAGCUGUGUCUGGUUGACAGCAGGGAUGCUACCAGCAAGGCAUUCCUUAAAAUAAGCAAACAAAAACAACAACAAGCUUUCAGUGGACCAAGAAGAUAGAUUGCAUAACAUUUUCAGAUAAGUUCAUUUUCUCAGGAGAAGGCAAGUAGAAACGUGCAUCUCUUUAUGUUUCCUCGUGUUUCUCCAGCCCCACUGACUUAGCCAGCCCGUUAGAUCAUAUCAUUUGAUGAAAACAGAGAAGUUUGAGACAUAGAAAUCUGUGUAUCAGCAAGAUAAAUACGUCAGCUCAGACUUUUCUAGACUGAAGGUAGAAAGCUGAACAUUUAAAAGUGAGUCACAUAGCAAAGUGUGCUUUCACAAGGAGUCAGAAACUGCAAAUAAGCUGUAGAGCAUAAUAUUUAAGAUAAGGAGCAAAGUUAUCUACGUGAGCUUAAAUAGCACUGAGCAGUAUAGUGCACUAAUAGAAAAUACUGCUUGUGUUUGCUUGGCCAGUGCCUCUGAUAAGUGGAGGAAUUGGGCCUUUGCUCCCCCAAAUGCCUACGAAGCACUGAUUGCCUACAUCUCUUAUAAAGCCACCAGUGUCUCCAGUUCCAAGAAGGCACUUACGUUUUUUUUCAGUUCUAACUUGUGUUCUUAUUCCUUUUCUUCUCUUCUCUUCUCUUCUCUUCUCUUCUCUUCUCUUCUCUUCUCUUCUCUUCUCUUCUCUUCUCUUCUCUUCUCUUCUCUUCUCUUCUCUUCUCUUUUCUUUUUUUAUUUAAAGUGAGCUUCCUCUCGCAUGUUUAGUGCCAAGCUGAGAAGUUUCCACUUUUUGAGUUAUAUGGGUGGAAGACAGCCGUUCCUUU
ensembl:lncRNA